CCCAAAGUGCUGGAUUACAGGCAUGGGCUACUGCACCCAGCCUCACUCUGAGAUGUUAAAGUGCAUGAUUAGACUUUUCAGUAUUCAUGUAACUGGAGGCUUGGUAAAGGAAUAUAGUAAAUAUACUUUUUAUUUGUUAGUUUGUUUGACUGGUUGCCGAAGAGAGUGAAGUAGGGAGGCAGCAACCAAGAAUAAAGCAGUUUCCCCAAACCUCCUGCUCUCCAGUGAAAACAGAAUCUGAGGGGAACGGACCUAACGUUGCUAAUUUAAGAUUCCGAAGUUGUCACAGCAAUAUAUUUAAUUAGAUCUUAGAAAUUGGGACUAGGAAAAUCAAAAGAAGGAAGGAAGGGAGAAAAGAAAGGAAGGAAGGAAGGGAGAGAAGGAAGGAAGGGAG